UCUGGAAAUCAAAGAAUCCUUAUCAGUGCUUCCUUCCUCUCAGAAAGCUGGGAUUCACAGCGUCCACCCCAAAAAUCUAUCGGCCUAAGCAAAUUCUUCCAAACCCCGAAGAGCUGAGAAAAGGGCUGGAUAUGGCAGUGGGCUGCGGCAGGCUGCCAACCCAGCACUUGGAGGAAAAUACUCCCCUUUCCUACAGCUCUAAGGGGGUGGGAUAAAUACGUGCCUAUCUCUAGUUCUACAUGUUUUAUUUAUAACCCUCUGCCUAAUAUCUCUGUUUUUCCUCCCCACAUGUCUAGGGCAUGUGUUUUACAUUCAAUCACACUAGUGAAGACACAUGAUUAGCCAUUUUCUGCUACCCAAAAUAAUCUCUCUCUCUCUCUCUCUCUCUGUGAAACAAAUUGCUCUUUGCCAGUAAGGAAAGUAUUAAAGGUGCCAUGGCACUGGCAGCUGCUUCUUGGGGUACACUGGGGUGCUACAAAAGAUCCCUGAAAAUCUGCAGCAUCUCCAUGAAGGCAGCCCAGAUGGCUGAUGUUAGCAAGCAGUGGGGAAUGAAGGGUCUGAUAGGAAUCUGAGGGUGCCAGCCCUUGAGAAACCGAUUUGUAGAGAGUCAAAGCCCAUUCUGGUGGUAGUGCUGUUUUGUUGGGUCAAAGUUACACUCCAGAAUUCCAUAUUUUAGGGUGGCAGCACAAUGAAGCCCUGGGCAGCAUCUGCUGUGCCUUUCCCAGUGCAUGGGGCUAUGAUUGGUGUUAACAGUCACAGCUAGAAAAUCUGCCUUCCGAUUGCCCUCUACAAUGGGACCAGGAAGGUCCGCGUGUGACCUGACGUGCAUAAUAUGAAAUGGUUGCUCUCGGUUGUAGAAUUGCAUUUUAUUUAAAUGGUAUGCUCUGUACCACCCCUUCAAAAUGUAUGGUAUAUCCCAAGCCUGUGGUCCUUCCCUGAACCAUCAUGAAUCUGUAAUCCCAUUGGCCCAAGUCUGAUUCCGAGACCAUCUUCAAUCCCCGUCUUAAACAGUGUGAGCGAGACCAGUCGCCCUCUUAGCCUUUCCCCUUUCUUAGCCCUUCUCUCUGCCUCAUGCUCCUUUCCUCACCUAGGCUCCCCCUCCUUCCCCCUCCCCCUUCUCUCUCAGUAACCAUUCUGUUCCCGGGGAUGGGACCCCCAAUAAACCCCCAUCAAAUCAGCACUCUCAGAAGCCGUGUGGAGUCUCCUUGCCUGCCUGCUGCUGCCAGCAAACUCACUGCCUAGGGGGCCGUCUGGGGACUCCCCAGGGUGCCCCUCCCAAAAGCGAACCACAACACUCGGUGGAAGACAAACCCUACAAAAUCGCAGAGCAAGCAAAAUAAUUGUUGAUUAGACAUUUCUUUUAGCAUGGAGUGUUCUGCCCUUUCAGCUCUCCCAGCAACAUAGGCCAAAUCAGUGACUAGAUUAAAAGGUUGUUGGAAUUUUUUUAAUGCUCUGACAACAGCAGCCAACUCAGCAAUUUGAGGGUUCCUUCAACGACUUGUACAUCAGACUCCCACUUCUGAGUGUUCGGAUCCUUCCAAGUGAUAACCGAUUUAUGUGAUUUUCCAGAGCCAUCUGUAAAAACUGUGUGGGCUUUAAGAGGAACCUUACUUUUUAGAGAAUUUGGGACUAGAUGGAAUGUUUCUUUUAGUAGCUUGUGUUUUGGAUAAUGAAUAGAGACUUGUUCGGGAUAGCUGUCUAAAGCAAACUGAAGGUGUUCACUUGUCUGUAAUAGGGAUCCUAAUUUGUUUAGUUGAAAUGCUGGAUAAAUGUAUGUUGGAUCACACGCUGCAGGGGUUCAGAGGUGGUUCCUGCCUUUAAUGAUUAAUUGAGCUAAAAGCUCUUGAGGGAUUGUAAUAGUUUUUUUGGGUUAGUGUGGGAAAAAUACCCAUUCUAUAAUUAACAAUUGAUCUGUAGAAGACGGGUCCCACUGAAAAAGUAGUGCCUGGAAAUGUGGGGAUUUACCAAGAAUAGCAAACUGGGAGGUUAGAGAGCAGUCAACGCGGUGUGCUUUUCGAGAUGAGAUAGCAGGUGCUACCUUUCGCAGCGUGUCGUGGGCAUCGGGAGUUAAGAUGCGCUGGGAAGUCAGGUCAUGGCUCCCCUUCAGUACACUGAACAAAGGGGACAGCUCUUCUCUCGUGAGUCCAAGCAGUGGUCGGAUCCAGGUGAUGGAGCCACAAAACGGCUGUAAGUCCCUUAGCACUUGAGCCUUAUCUUUGAUGGAGAAACUUUGGGGAAUAAUGUCUCGCCCACUGAUUAGGAAUCCGAGGUAUUUCCAUGGGGAGGUGUACUGGGUUUUUCAGGAGCAAUAUCAAAACCUGCAUCUUCAACUGCUGUCAUAGUCUUUCUGAUCACUGUGUUAAGGUAAGUCUUGUCUUGGGAGCAAAGUAAAAUUUCGUCCAUAUAAUGUAGAAUUAUAGCUUCAGGGAAGGCUUUCCUGAUUGGAGAUACAAUCCCAGCCACAAACAUUUGACAAAAAACAUUGGCUGAAGAAGACCAUAUGCAAUCUCACUGUUCUAAGAAAUUGAGGGACUUAAGAGAUUAUCCAAGUGGAGAAUCAACCCUCAGAGAAUUGAAGGGGUCAGGGGCUCUUCUUCUUGGGGCACAAAAACCAUCUUCAAGAGCCCUUGAUAAAAUCAAGAAUAGGACCCCAAGAACAAUUAAUGGAAUUUUUAGUAGACACAGGAGCAGAGACAACUUGUUUAACUGAAAAACCAAAUGGAUGUGCCAUAAGCAAAGACACUGUCAAUAUUUGUGCUGCUAAAGGGGAAUCCUUCCCCAUUCCCAUCAUUAUGAAUGUCACUAUAAAGGGUAGUGGACUAACCAAAAAUGGAGAUUUGUUUUUCUACCUCAAGCAGGUAACAACUUACUUGGCCAGGAUCUCCAGAUACCUUUGAAAGUCGCAGCAGUUCACAAGAAGGAAAGAUAAAGGUCAAAUUGUUUACUUUAUCCACGCAAGAUGAACAACUGAUUAAUCCUACAGUGUAGGCCCAACCAGAUUCUCCUUCUAGACACCUGUUUGCUUCCACCUGGGAAGAUCCAGACACUGGAAGGAAACAGCAGCUCACCUGGACCUGGCGGCUGCAAGGGUACAUGGAGUCUCCCACACUCUUCGGUCAGGCCUUGGAGAGCCUGUUCAUUUCCUUUUCUCCACCCUCAGGAAUACAAGUAUCACAGUCAACAAAAAGGAUCUCUGGAGAAACUAGAGGAAACAUCCUAGCAGACCAUGCUGCAAAGGAGGCUGCUUUUGAGGGGGAAGUAAAGGUAUACAGAUUUUAUCCAAGAGACACACCCGAGAGUACACCAGACAACACCCUUCCUAUCCCUAUUUUUAAAGACGAUGAAAAACAGAAACUCAUAUCACUAGGUGGAAAGGAAGAUUCCGAGGGACGGUGGCAUCUUCCUGAUGGCCACCAAAUGUUAAAUAAAGAGCUCACUCGAGAAAUUUUACAGAACUUCCACCAAUCCACGCACUGGGGAUCUAAAGCUUUAGCAGGUCACUUUCUUCAAAAUUUUGGAUGUCGGGGAAUUGAUGAAUUAGCUAAUCAAAUUACCAUAGGUUGGAUAAUUUGCCAAAAAGUCAACAGAAAAUUAAUGAGGAGAACGAGACCUGGAAGAAUUGAAAUUGCAAUUAGACCCUUCCAAAGUAUUCAAAUUGAUUUCACAGAAAUGCCCCAUGCCCAAAGAUGGAAGUAUUUCUUAGUGAUUGUAGAUCACCUUACCAAUGGGGUUGAAGCAUUUCCAACUGUUAAUGCCACUGCUCAAACAGUAAGUAAGGUAAUCCUAGAAUAGACAGUCCCAAGAUAUGGAAUUAUAAAUAACAUUGAUUCAGACCAAAGUACCCAUUUUACAUCAUUAGUAUUGCAACAAUUGGCUCAACAAUUUGAAAUAACUUGGAAAUUACAUACCCCUGGCACCCUCAAAGUUCGGGAAGGGUAGAACGCAUGAAUCAGACUAUUAGAACAACCCGGACCAAACUGAUGUUAGAAAUGAAGUGGACUUGGAUAAAGUGCCUACCCCUUGCCCUUCUCAGAAUCCAGAGCCAACCCAGAGCUGACUUAGGUUGUUCCCCAUGUGAAAUGUUAUACAGGCUUCCCUAUUUAGCCACCCCGCAUCAAGUAACUGCCAAAGAGUGAGGAAAUAGAAAUGUGCAAAGGUAUAUUCAAAUGAUUGCCCAGAAUCUAAAAGACUUAAUGCAGAGAGGUCUUGUACCCCAGAACGUUCCUUUAGACUUCUAUUUACAUAAGAUCUGCCCCGGAGAGUAGGUACUUAUUAAAUGCUGGAAGGAACAAUCCCUGACUCCAUCGGGGGAAGGUCCAUUCCAAGUUCAAUUGACCACAGAGACAGCCAUCCAAACACAGGAAAAAGGGUGCACUUCCGUCAGCCAAGUAAAAGGUCCAGUAACACCACCACAAGAUAACGAGAAACCUCCAUGAACUACUCUCUACAACAGUCCUCCCCAGUGUUAUCCCUGAAAUUAUUAUAUCAAUUGUUAUUCUCUCACUGUUUUACAGAAGAGAAUCUAAUGGAUGUUGUAGUUACUAUUUAACAAGUUAUUACAAAUUUUCAAUUCCAUUUCUCCACCAGUGAAGAGUAUCAUUUCCCUGAGAAAUGACCUUUCCUCUCAAUAACUACGUCUUUUUUUUUUUUUUUAUUAAUUUCCUUGGGAGAAACAACAUGAAUAGAACCAAGGCCAGUUCCAGGUAGGACUUUCCUGCAUUUAGAUCCCUUCCUGCAUCCAGGUACACUCCCAUGACAACCAAGGGGUUCGAACCCAGGAGAAAAACCAGAGAGGUUGAAAGGUCUGCACCACCUAUCAGAGAGUACCACGGCACUUCAAUCUUCCCACUGACCCCUGAGCGAGGGAAGGGAAGGUGCGCCCUACUCCUCAUACUCUCCCUCUGGAUCCUGUAGAUCCCCCUUGUCAGAGCCUGCGUCUGCUGCCACCAAUGCUAACAUACAGUGUACCUGACCAAAGGAAACUCCUACCUCAUAAAACACUCAUUCCAGGCACAUACUUAUGUAAAUCCCUUUUGUUAUAAUAUGAUGACACUGAAUACAUGCUGACAAUCAGGCAAAAAACAGUGGAUUGGUAGAAAUAUUGGAAAUGCAAACCAGAAAAGGAAUGGAGAAUGUCCUGAUCAAGAUAAUUGGCUAUGUUUCAAUUUUAAUUAUAUAGCCUAAAAGGAAGAUUUUUUUUAAAAAAGAAAAAAGCUUAUGAAGUUGAUUUGGUUCGAGAAGUUCUAAUAACUGAAAGGGAGAAACAAAAAGAGGACAAUCCACUAGCUACCAAUAAAAACUUAUUUAUUGUUUUAGCAGAACAAAUUAGUAAAAAUCAAAAUAUAACCAAUUGUUGGGUUUGUGGAGGCACCUUCAAAUCAGAAGCCUGGCCUCAGCAAGGAGUCAGUAUUGGACCCCUCAAAUUACUUAAACUAAAUUAUUUCCCCUCCCAAACUCCAAGAGAUCAAGACAAUUGGCUAUUGAGGGACACAGUUCUUGGAGAAGAAUGUAUCUGGAGAAAAGGAAAAAGGUACACUGAGGAAGUUGUAGAAACUACCUGUAAAAGAUAUUUACUAACUGAGGAUCACAAGACGUGGUGGAUACUGAACGAACCAGAUACCUUUUGGUCAAAGAAGAAAAUCAGAAACAAGAACUGCAUAUUACAUCCCAAUGAACAACUUUAUCAGUGCUGGGAUCCUAAAAGUCAGCCUUUAUUCAGUAUUACCCCAAGUUUCUAAGUAUUGGACCUCCACUUUUAUCACUCCUUCACAUUUUUGGGAGGCCCCCCACGGUUUAUACUGGAAUUGUGGGCAAAGAGCAUAUUCUAAACUCCCUUCUCACUGGUGUGGCAAUUGUACAUUAGGAGCAAUACGACCUAGCCCCUUUCUACUAUCAGAAGCAGCUGGAAACCAACUCGGAGUUCCCCAUGAUGAUAAAUUAAAGAAACAAAAAAAUAUGAAAUAGGGGGAAUGUAACAAUGGGGCGAGGAAGAGUGGCCACCAGAGAGAAUUUUAGAAACUUACGGACCUGCCACUUGGGCUCAGGAUGGGAGCUGGGGCUAUCAAACUCCCAUUUACAUGCUAAAUCGCAUUGUUAGACUACAAGCCCUGAUUCAAGUCAUAUCUAAUCAGGCCAAGAGUGCAAUUGAUUUUUUCAACGCCCAACAGAAGCAAAUGAAAACAGCUGUAUAUCAAAACUCUUUAGCCCUAGAUUAUUUAUUAGCCAAAGAGGGUGGAAUAUGUGGCCAUUUGAACACUUCAGACUGUUGUCUGCAUAUUGAUGACCAUGGUGAAACUAUUACUAAAAUUCCCAAAACAUCAGAAAGCUUACACAUGUUCCAGUCCGGUUUUCCCUCACUACACCUGAAUAGUGGAAAAACAUGUUCUCUGGGGAGUGGUGGAAGAAAGCCUUAAUUAUUUUUGGAGUUUCCUUAGUUAGCCUUCUCUUUCUCCCCUGCUUAAUCCCAUGUUUCAUUCAUCUAAUUACCUCAGUAGUACAAAGCAUGUUCGCUAGUCAAAAUCUUCAAACGAGCCAACAUUCUAUGCCUACUGUCAAGAAAAUCAUAAAUCUCAAUCCAAUCAAAAGCGAUAGGAAAACGGGUAAAAAGGCCCAGCAAGUUUAGAUUAAUUUUAAACAAUUAAACACUAUCAACAAAGAACUUUUACAUUUAUGUAAAUGCAAAAGCCAACGACUAACAUAAGAGAAAGAGGGAGGAACUGUCAUUUAUAAAAUCCCUUACAUGGCUUUUGCAUUUGUGACUGGUUUAUAUUUGUAACUGUUAAUUAGCUUUUGCAUUUAUAACUGUUUAAAGUUACUAGUUUGAUCAAAUAAAAGUGUUCAAAUUAAUGAAGUAAAUAAUAUAAAAUCAUUAUCAAGUUAUACUAGCUAUUCAGUAGAUCCCAACUGAAUGUUUAACAGUCCUGUUAAAAUAGGCAGCAAAAUAAGAACUAUAUUAUUUUUAUAAUCCUUUGUUCUUAACCUAAUUACAUUAUUUGUAAAUUUAAUUAUCUCUUUUUAGUAGCCUUAUACUUUCAAAGGUCCCAGUGCAGUUUCCUCUCACCAACAGCAUGCAGCAUUUUACAGACAAUUUCUAACCCACUCCAGGUUGAACUGGUAACUUGAUGCCACAGCAACUGUGCAUACUAAUGAGAGAGCUUCCCAUCAAAAACCUGGGAGAUAUCAUCCCGCCCCAGUGACAGCACACUCUGGGAAAGAAGAUCUUACCUCAUCAUCUACUAGCACCAAUCACCUGAGACUAUGGGGGCAGAACUGCAAGUACAGACUGAGGGGAGCGAGAACAUCAAAGGGGCAGCCUGGCCUGAAGAGCUGUCUUUGCUGUCUUUUACUGUUCCUGGGACUGUGACUUAGCUACAGCAGGGGACCCCACACUGCAGAUUUCAGUCAAUAUCUCUUUUUAGAGACCUUUUUCCAGAUUUGAGGGCAGACUAAGUGCAUUCACUGCAAUGCCCUUGGGUUCUGGCCUUGGGGCCAGACGCCAGUUCGGCUAGAGAUUUCCUCAAUCCUUGGGCCUGGGACUUUAUCCUUUUUUCUUUCUUUUCCUUCUUCUUUUUCCUUACCUCCCCUUUUGUUUUUUCCCUUUAA